CCUACGGGAGGCAGCAGUAGGGAAUUUUCGGCAAUGGAGGGAACCCUGACCGAGCAACGUAGCGUGAACGAUGAAGUUACUCGUAAUGUAAAGUUCCUUUUACAGGGAAGUAAGAGAGAUUUGACGGUACCUGAAGUAUAUGCUCCGGCAAACUACGUGCCAGCAGCCGCGGUAAGACGUGGGGAGCGAGCGUUACCCGGUAUUAUUGGUCGAAAAGGGUGCGUAGAUGGCAUAGUAAGUCUUUUGUAAAAAUGCUGGGUUAAACCCAGUAGUGCAAAAGAUACUGGAAAGCUUGAGUACGACAGAGGCAAGUGGAAUUAGUUGUGUAGCGGUAAAAUGCGUAAAUAU
rnacentral:rRNA from 1 species